UUCCCUGAGUUCCAGCCGAUCAAGGUGAGGGAUUCUAGUGUUGAAUUUAACUUUUUGGCUGAGCUGUACACUUGAAUUUGUGCUCUUCAAUUUGGAAUUUGGUUUUCUAGUUUGGAUUUUGUUUUUAAGUUUCUGGUGUGUGUUUGACAUCUUAGUUUAAUUAUAGAAUUUUACAACCACCAUUGUUAACUUGUGGGUUGCUAAACAUUGGUGCUCGAAAUCUUUUCUGGUCUGGGAUAACUAGUGUAGAGAUGCAGCACUGUUUAUAUUAAUAAUUGUGCCAAUGAAAUGAAUUUUGCGUGCUUGACUUAGUUUUGGAGUCAGGAACCCGGGGAUCAAAACAAUAUGACAGAUAGAUAAACGGUAAGAACCAAGUCAGUGUGGAAAGACAACAUUUGGAUAUUAUGUUUAGAAAACACAGAAGAUGUGAAGUAGGAAGAAAAUGGAAUCAAUGGGAACUUAUAAUG
rnacentral:misc_RNA from 1 species